rnacentral:ncRNA from 1 species
UGCGCAGCGCGUGUUUCAGCACGACGUUGCGGAAGCUGACGCCCUUGAGCCGGGCGGUGCGGAUAUAUUGCGCGGUCAUCACCUCGGCCAUGCUGGCACGGGUCAUGCGGGCGAUAUAGCCCAUGCCGUAAAGCGCGAUGGUGAGGACGGGCAGGAAGAAAUUCUCGAACGUCGCAUGGUCC